AAAGCUGUUGGUUAUGAAGCUUAGGUAGCAAUACCUGAGACCAAUAACCGCAGUGAUUAGGAUAAGCACUAACUCACAUAGAGUUAGUUGAAGAAUCUCGCAGGGUCAAAAAGUUAGGUUUAAGUAUGGUACCAUUGUACUCGAUACUAGUUGAUGUAUGGUAUCUGGGCUAAACAAUUCCUUCAGAGAGCGGAGGUAUAUACGAACUAGCAACUCGGAACCUAGUUUGUUGGUUGUUUG
rnacentral:lncRNA from 1 species